rnacentral:rRNA from 1 species
UACGUAGGGUGCGAGCGUUAAUCGGAAUUACUGGGCGUAAAGCGUGCGCAGGCGGUGAUGUAAGACCGAUGUGAAAUCCCCGGGCUUAACCUGGGAACUGCAUUGGUGACUGUAGAGCUGGAGUACGGCAGAGGGGGAUGGAAUUCCGCGUGUAGCAGUGAAAUGCGUAGAUAUGCGGAGGAACACCGAUGGCGAAGGCAAUCCCCUGGGCCUGUACUGACGCUCAUGCACGAAAGCGUGGGGAGCAAACAGG